rnacentral:sRNA from 1 species
AGAAAUUCAGUGUCUGCAUAGCUUUGAGUCCAGUGUUUGAAGACGAUCUCUGAUUGUGAAGCCCUCUUUUUCUCUCCUUCUAUUUCUCUCUAGAGCACUCAAGACUUUACUGAUGAAAACUCAGGAAAUCCUCUAUCACAAAGAGGUUUGGCAACUAAACUAAGACAUUAAAAGGAAAAUACCAGAUGCCACUCUGCAGGUUGCAAUAACUACUACUUACUGGAUACAUUCAAACCCUCCAGAAUCAACAGUUAUCAGGUAACCAACAAGAAAUGCAAGCCGUCGACAACCUCACCUCUGCGCCUGGGAACACCAGUCUGUGCACCAGAGACUACAAAAUCACCCAGGUCCUCUUCCCACUGCUCUACACUGUCCUGUUUUUUGUUGGACUUAUCACAAAUGGCCUGGCGAUGAGGAUUUUCUUUCAAAUCCGGAGUAAAUCAAACUUCAUUAUUUUUCUUAAGAACACAGUCAUUUCUGAUCUUCUCAUGAUUCUGACUUUUCCAUUCAAAAUUCUUAGUGAUGCCAAACUGGGAACAGGACCACUGAGAACUUUUGUGUGUCAAGUUACCUCCGUCAUAUUUUAUUUCACAAUGUAUAUCAGUAUUUCAUUCCUGGGACUGAUAACUAUCGAUCGCUACCAGAAGACCACCAGGCCAUUUAAAACAUCCAACCCCAAAAAUCUCUUGGGGGCUAAGAUUCUCUCUGUUGUCAUCUGGGCAUUCAUGUUCUUACUCUCUUUGCCUAACAUGAUUCUGACCAACAGGCAGCCGAGAGACAAGAAUGUGAAGAAAUGCUCUUUCCUUAAAUCAGAGUUCGGUCUAGUCUGGCAUGAAAUAGUAAAUUACAUCUGUCAAGUCAUUUUCUGGAUUAAUUUCUUAAUUGUUACUGUAUGUUAUACACUCAUUACAAAAGAACUGUACCGGUCAUAUGUAAGAACGAGGGGUGUAGGUAAAGUCC